rnacentral:rRNA from 1 species
ACGAACGCUGGCGGCGUGCUUAACACAUGCCAGUCGAACGGUAAGGCCCUUCGGGGUACACGAGUGGCGAACGGGUGAGUAACACGUGGGUAAUCUGCCCUGCACUUCGGGAUAAGCCUGGGAAACUGGGUCUAAUACCGGAUAUUCAGUUCCUGCCGCAUGGUGGGGGUUGGAAAGUUUUUCGGUGCAGGAUGAGCCCGCGGCCUAUCAGCUUGUUGGUGGGGUAAUGGCCUACCAAGGCGACGACGGGUAGCCGGCCUGAGAGGGUGAUCGGCCACACUGGGACUGAGACACGGCCCAGACUCCUACGGGAGGCAGCAGUGGGGAAUAUUGCACAAUGGGCGAAAGCCUGAUGCAGCGACGCCGCGUGAGGGAUGACGGUCUUCGGAUUGUAAACCCCUUUCAGUAGGGACGAAGCGCAAGUGACGGUACCUGCAGAAGAAGCACCGGCCAACUACGUG